AUGACGUCAAAUCAUCAUGCCCCUUAUGUCUUGGGCUUCACGCAUGCUACAAUGGCCGGUACAAAGGGCUGCGAUACCGCGAGGUGGAGCGAAUCCCAGAAAGCCGGUCUCAGUUCGGAUUGGGGUCUGCAACUCGACCCCAUGAAGUCGGAGUCGCUAGUAAUCGCAGAUCAGCAACGCUGCGGUGAAUACGUUCCCGGGCCCGUU
rnacentral:rRNA from 1 species